UCUAGAAGCUUCGGCAAUGGGGGAAACCCUGACCGAGCGACGCCGCGUGCAGGAUGAAGGCCUUCGGGUUGUAAACUGCUUUCGACAGGGAAGAAGGGCGUUUGGGAUAAUACCCCGAUCGUUUGACGGUACCUGGAGAAGAAGCCUCGGCUAAUUCCGUGCCAGCAGCCGCGGUAAUACGGGGGAGGCAAGCGUUAAUCGGAUUUAUUGGGCGUAAAGGGCGCGUAGGCGGUUUCUUAAGUCAGGUGUUAAAGACCACGGCUCACCCGUGGGGCUGCGCCUGAUACUGAGGGACUGGAGUGCAACAGAGGCAAGCGGAAUUCCCGGUGUAGCGGUGAAAUGCAUAGAUAUCGGGAGGAACACCAGUGGCGAAGGCGGCUUGCUGGGCUGUAACUGACGCUGAGGCGCGAAAGCCAGGGGAGCGAACGG
rnacentral:rRNA from 1 species